AUUUUCGUAACAGUACCCACCAAAAGUGAACCCGGUCCAGGAACGACUACUUCUUCACGGCGGUGUUAAGCAAAUCGCGGAGUCUUGUCCUGGUAAGGCGGUCAAGAGAGAGGAGUGGCGGAAUCUGUUUCUGAAAAAUCGCCGCAAAGCGAAGCUCAAUCUCAUAUUAACUGCAACUGCAACUACGAACUACGAACAUCAGGGUAGUGAUUAAGAAAAACCCUAGCAAUGGGGAAGAAGCAGCACAGCAAAGACAGAAUGUUCAUCACCAAAACGGAGUGGGCAACGGAGUGGGGAGGCGCUAAAUCCAAAGAAAAUCGCACUCCCUUCAAACGUCUUCCCUUCUAUUGCUGCUCGCUUACGUUUACGCCGUUUGAAGAACCGGUCUGCACACCUGAUGGCAGUGUUUUCGAUAAUAUGAAUAUAACUCCCUAUAUUGUAAAAUAUGGCAAACAUCCAGUCAAUGGAGCUCCUCUCAAGCAUCAGGAUCUCAUUCCACUAACUUUCCACAAGAAUUCAGAAGGAGAAUAUCAUUGUCCAGUGCUAAACAAAGUUUUCACUGAAUUUACACAUAUUGUGGCAGUGAAGACCACAGGAAACGUGUUCUGCUAUGAGGCUGUUAAAGAGUUAAACAUUAAGACAAAAAACUGGAAGGAGCUCCUCACUGAUGAGCCAUUCACUAAGGAUGACCUUAUAACCAUUCAAAAUCCUAAUGCACUUGACAGCAAGGUUCUUCUGGAUUUUGAUCAUGUUAAAAAUAGUUUGAAAGUUGAUGAUGAAGAACUACAGAAAAUGAGUUCAGAUCCAACCUAUAAUAUAAACAUGUCGGGUGAUAUAAAGCAAAUGCUUAAGGAGCUUGGAACUGAGAAAGGGAAGGAAACUGCAUUGCAUGGGGGAGGCGGUGGCAAGGCACAAAAAGAAAGGGCUGCUGCACUUGCUGCCAUCUUAGCUGCAAGGUCACGUGUUGAAGAAGAUUCCAAAUCAAAUCCAAAUAAAGAGGCCAAAGCUCCUCAGGCAUUUAGUGUUGUUGAUGCUGCAUCUGCUUCAGUACAUGGAAGAAGUGCAGCUGCUGCUAAAGCCUCAGCAGGUGAUAAAACUGCAGCUAGAAUAGCUAUGCAUGUGGCUGGUGACAGGGCACCAGUGAAUGCAAAGAUGGUAAAAAGCCGUUUCACGACUGGUGCUGCUUCCCGGUCUUUCACUUCAACAUCAUUUGAUCCAGUUACAAAAAAUGAAUUUGAGUAUGUGAAAGUUGAGAAGAAUCCAAAAAAGAAGGGAUAUGUACAACUGCAUACAACACAUGGUGAUUUGAACAUUGAGCUGCAUUGUGAUAUAACCCCCAGGGCAUGCGAGAACUUCAUCACUCUUUGUGAACGUGGAUAUUAUAAUGGAGUUGCUUUUCAUAGAAACAUUAGGAAUUUUAUGAUACAGGGUGGUGAUCCUACUGGUACCGGUCGAGGAGGUGAAUCUAUAUGGGGAAAGCCUUUUAAAGAUGAACUCAACUCCAAAUUAAUUCACUCCGGAAGGGGUGUGGUAAGCAUGGCAAACAGUGGCCCACACACUAAUGGUUCCCAGUUUUUCAUCUUGUACAAGUCUGCAAAUCAUCUAAACUUCAAACAUACAGUUUUUGGAGGAGUUGUGGGUGGCUUGACUACCCUAGCGGCAAUGGAAAAGGUUCCUGUUGAUGAUGAUGACCGGCCUCUGGUGAUUCAUAUUUUCUUUUCACUGAGGAAAUCAAGAUAACAAGUGUCACGAUUUUUGUCAAUCCUUACACAGAACCAGAUGAGGGAGAAGAGCAGGAUAAUGCCAAAGAGAAGAAUGCAGAGGAUGAAGAUAAUGAUAAGGUAGGCUCAUGGUAUAGCAAUCCUGGCGCUGCAACGUCUGUUUCUGGAGGUACGGGGGCUGGUGGUGGCGUUGGCAAGUACUUAAAAGCUAGGAGCACUCAAGCUAAAUCUGCUACUGUUGACAACACCGGUACAGACGUUGUAGUAAAGAAAAGAAAAGUGGGAGUUGCCAGCAGUGAAUUUAAAGAUUUUUCUGCAUGGUAACAAUCCCAAUUUCGUACAAUUUGUAAAAAAGUGUAAACUUUUCUUGUAGAUUAUUAUAAUUUGCAUUGGGGAAAUUGACGGGAUAGUGAGGAAAUUUUUUUGCACGCCAUUCAGGAUUUGUACGAUACAGCGUAUUAUUGGAUGAGAGAAUAGAAUCAUUGUCUCAAUUGUGCUUUGCCUAUCCCUCUCA